rnacentral:rRNA from 1 species
AGAGUUUGAUCAUGGCUCAGGACGAACGCUGGCGGCGUGCCUAAUACAUGCAAGUCGAGCGGAUGACGAGGAGCUUGCUCCUCUGAUUCAGCGGCGGACGGGUGAGUAACACGUGGGCAACCUGCCUGUAAGACUGGGAUAACUCCGGGAAACCGGGGCUAAUACCGGAUAGGUGAUGUCUUCGCAUGAAGAGAUCAGGAAAGAUGGCUUCGGCUAUCACUUACAGAUGGGCCCGCGGCGCAUUAGCUAGUUGGUGAGGUAACGGCUCACCAAGGCGACGAUGCGUAGCCGACCUGAGAGGGUGAUCGGCCACACUGGGACUGAGACACGGCCCAGACUCCUACGGGAGGCAGCAGUAGGGAAUCUUCCGCAAUGGACGAAAGUCUGACGGAGCAACGCCGCGUGAGCGAAGAAGGUCUUCGGAUCGUAAAGCUCUGUUGUUAGGGAAGAACAAGUACCGUUCGAAUAGGGCGGUACCGUGACGGUACCUAACCAGAAAGCCACGGCUAACUACGUGCCAGCAGCCGCGGUAAUACGUAGGUGGCAAGCGUUGUCCGGAAUUAUUGGGCGUAAAGCGCGCGCAGGCGGCUUCUUAAGUCUGAUGUGAAAGCCCGCAGCUCAACUGCGGAGGGUCAUUGGAAACUGGGAAGCUUGAGUGCAGAAGAGGAGAGUGGAAUUCCACGUGUAGCGGUGAAAUGCGUAGAGAUGUGGAGGAACACCAGUGGCGAAGGCGGCUCUCUGGUCUGUAACUGACGCUGAGGCGCGAAAGCGUGGGGAGCAAACAGGAUUAGAUACCCUGGUAGUCCACGCCGUAAACGAUGAGUGCUAAGUGUUAGAGGGUUUCCGCCCUUUAGUGCUGCAGCUAACGCAUUAAGCACUCCGCCUGGGGAGUACGGCCGCAAGGCUGAAACUCAAAUGAAUUGACGG